GCCAGUGUGGCAUAGUGGUUGAGUUUUGGACUAUAAAUGUGGAGACCAGGGAUUGAUUCCCUGCUUGGCC